CAGCAGCCGCGGUAAUUCGGAGGGGGCUAGCGUUAUUCGGAAUUACUGGGCGUAAAGCGCACGUAGGCGGAUCAGAAAGUCAGAGGUGAAAUCCCAGGGCUCAACCUUGGAACUGCCUUUGAAACUCCUGGUCUUGAGGUCGAGAGAGGUGAGUGGAAUUCCGAGUGUAGAGGUGAAAUUCGUAGAUAUUCGGAGGAACACCAGUGGCGAAGGCGGCUCACUGGCUCGAUACUGACGCUGAGGUGCGAAAGCUUGGGGAGCAAACAGGAUUAGAUACCCUGGUAGUCCACGCCGUAAACGAUGAAUGCCAGUCGUCGGGUAGCAUGCUAUUCGGUGACACACCUAACGGAUUAAGCAUUCCGCCUGGGGCGUACGGCCGCAAGGUUUAAACUCAAAUGACUUGCCGG
rnacentral:rRNA from 1 species